UUUUAUGGAGAGUUUGAUCCUGGCUCAGGACGAACGCUGGCGGCGUGCCUAAUACAUGCAAGUCGAG
rnacentral:rRNA from 1 species